rnacentral:rRNA from 1 species
UUUUGGGGCGAUGGGGCUAACUGCAGUCAACGACCUUCGGGUUAGUGGCGGACGGGUGAAUAAGGGUCGUACUAAGCCUCAGGAGGGGGAAAANGGAUGGAAANGACCCCAUAUAGGGCGUAUGCNUAAUGGAGAAAAGAAUUUCGCCUGAGGAUGAGGUCGGGUCUGAUUACCUAGUUGGUGAGGUAAUGGCUCACCAAGGCUUCGAUCAUUAGCUGGUCUGAGAGGAUGAUCAGCCACACUGGGACUGAGACACGGCCCAAACUCCUACGGGAGGCAGCAGGGGGGAAUUUUCCGCAGUGGGGGAAAGCCUGACGGAUCAACGCCUCUGGAGGGACGAAGGCCUCUGGUGUGCAAACCUCUUUUCUCUGGGAAGAAGAUAUGACGGUACUUGAGGAAGAAGCCGCGGUUUUUUCCUUGUCAGCAGCCGCGUUAGUAUUGGAGUGGCAAGCGUCUUCCGGAAUUAUUGGGCGUAGAGCGUCCGCAGGCGGCUUUUCAAGUCUGCUGUUAAAGCGUGGAGCUUAACUCCAUCAUGGCAGUGGAAACUGAAAGGCUUGAGUAUGGUAGGGGCAUAGGGAAUUCCCGGUGUAACGGUGAAAUGCGUAGAUAUCUGGAAAAACACCAGUGGGGAAGGCGCUCUGCUGGGCCAUUACUGACGCUCAUGGACGAAAGCGAGGGGAGCCAACGGGAUUAUAUACCCCUGUAGUCGUGGGCGUAAACAAUGAACACUACGUGUCGGGGGAAUCGACCCCUUCGGUGUGGGACCUAACGCGUUAAGUGUCCCGCCUGGGGAUUACGCACGCGAGUGUGAAACUAAUGGAUUUGAUGGCUCCCCGCAAUUCGGUGGAGAAUGUGGUUAU